GCUCCCAGUUUAGACAGAGAGCUCAUUCAUCCAUGGUGACGCUGCUGGGUGUGAUUUGCCAGUCACUGAGAUGCCCUUGUUUUUUUUUUUCCUUCUUGCAGAACCAUCUGCAGUUGGUGAAAAAUAACCCACUACAGCUAGUGAACAUUUCCCACCUUUUAUCCUCUGGCUUCAUAGGGCUGUGACAGACGGUGCCCCAGCAGGAACUAUGCAGCUCAACUGCCAAAGGUGUUGCUGUUCCUGCAGAAAUCCUAGAGACAGUGCUCUGCCCCAGCAAACAGACUUCUGCAGAACGAGCUGCUGUACCUAAGAACCAACCCUUCUCAAGUAGGUGUGUCUAACUAAAAUGAAACCACUGAGGAAACUGCCUUGAUACUGAACUUCCCUAAACCAGGUCUCAGCAGAAGAAAAAAGCAUCCCUCCUACCUCAUUUCUCCUUUUGGAGGCUAGCAGGAAAUUAAAAAAGGAAAGGAGUUCCAUGCAGUAUUUCUGACAGCAAAUUUCUCAGAAUCCAGAGAUACUUCUUUUCCCUGUAAUAAGUUGCUGCAGAUACAAAGGAGCACUUAUGAUUGAUGACUGUCUCUGUUUGCAGGAGUGAUAAUUUUUGAACACACAGUUCUCGAUUAAAAUACAAAUGCAUUUUCAACUGCGUAUUUCUUUAUCUAUGUUUUAGUCUUACUUGACAAAAUGUGAAAAGAAUCCAGUAAAGUUGGGUUCUAGCAUACUGCAGAAGUGAAACUGAAGUAAGGAGAUUUUUAAAUGCGGAGGGAACAUCCAUUGCUAUCUCUCGGUACCUGAGUUCUCAUGUAGGAGUAGAUCUGGUUGAUAUUGUUAUCUGGAGUCUAAGAACUCUCUUCCCAUAUCAGGUAAUUUGAACUGGGCUUUUGUCACUUGCAGUAGGAAGAAUCCUGAAUAUUCCCUGAGGCUUGUAGAAUUGCAGAAUAUGAGCUCAAAGUUGUUUAUAUAGACCAGUAUGAAAAAUAUCAUAAAAUGCAGGACAAAGAUCUAUAGAUUUUGAGAGGUUCCAAAUGCAGGACCCUUUUCUUGCACCGAGCGUGGCAGUGCUCCUUGGAGCCACAGCACAUGAGAAUUGUGAAAUUACAGGUUCAACUGGCUUUGAGAAGAUAAUGCACAAAGGAUUAAGAAGCAAUGGUAAAGCAAGGAUGCUGGAAUAAAUACGGCCAAACAGCAAUGUUUUAAAAACUACGUAUCUAUCAAUUUUUGAGUGUAGGUUUUUAAAACAUUUAAUCAAAUUAAGCAUAACUGUAAAAAUGUGUAGAAAUGGAAAGAAAUUCAGUGUUUAGUUUCAUUAGAUAUAAGGUCUUUAUUAAUGGUACUAUACAUAUCUAACUGCAUGGAUUUUUAAAAAUCAAAGUCUUAUAAUGAACAGAAUGUAUUUAUUUGGCAUCCAUACAGCUGUGAAUAGCUGUAACAUGUUUAAUGUUUGUUCUAUACAAUUCCCUUACAUAUCACAAUAAAAAGACCUUUUUGAAAAAUC